rnacentral:lncRNA from 1 species
UUGGUGUUUUAUAGCAGUAAUUGAUUUCAGCUUGGGUCAGGGAAAUAGCAGAAAGCAAGGGCGUGGACAAGGAGAGGGACUACAUGACUCUAUACAUGGUUUUAUACAUGAUUCUAUACAUGAUUCUAUACAUGAUUCUAUACAUUAUUCUAUACAUGAUUCUAUGGUGUGAAAGUAGUGACUUCUUUCUUCCUUGCUAGCCUCUUAUUGUUGUAGCAAACAAAUGUGAUGUGAAGAGAAUAGCUGAACUUUCUGAAGAAGAUCAGAAAAUAUUUCUAGACUUGCAGGCUGAAGGAUUUCCUGUCAUCGAGACCAGCACCCUGACUGAGGAAGGUGUCAUUCAAGUUAAAACGAGAGGCUUGUGAUAGGCUUUUGGCUCACCGAGUAGAAACGAAAA